GAGAGAGAGAGAGAGAGAGAGAGAGAGAGAGAGAGAACUGAGCACAGACUGGCCAAGGUCAGGAGGUCGAUUCCCAGAUGCGACACCCCCCUUCCUAACUGGACCCCUGCCUCUGCUGUUUAUUAGGGAAUUGAGAUAGGACAAUCCCCCCUACGACCCUGGGGGGUUCAAGGCCAAGUGGGAACACAAUCAUGACUCUCUAAGGGCUUUUGUAAUUCUCGAUGUGUUGUUUGAGUCCCUGACCUGGUUUAGGCCUUGAGACAGCGCAGACUGCUGAGGAGCAGCUUCUCAGUCUUUGGACACCUAUUUGCUGGGUACUGGCUCUAUCCCAGGCCCUGCUCCAGGGGUUGGGGGUACCAUGGCCAGCAGAGUGGAUGAAGAGCCAUGCACUCAGGGAGGUUAUGUUCUAGGGAAUGUAAUGCAGAACGAGGACAUACCUGACAAGACGUCACAUCCAUACGGAGGGCACAGGGAUGCCCUUUGCUGUGUGACUUGGUACUUCUUCCCACCAAAGGGCGAAGGUGUAUUUCCCACCCCUUGACUUUGGGUGUGGCCAAGUGAUCUGCUUUGACUUUGUCCAAAUGAAUGAAGUGGAAGUGAUUCUGUACUAUUUCUGUCCCUGGCCCUCAAGGGACCUUGUACUUUUCUGUACCCUUACCAUUGUGUGAGACAAACAUGUCUUGGAUUGGCACCCACUGAUCCAAGGAGGUGGAACAGCCAAGCCUGGCCUGGAUCAGCCAAGUGACGGAGGUGUCGAUGAUAAUAUGUGAUUUUUUUUAAGAUUUUAUUUUUAAGUCAUCUCUACACCCAAUGUGGGUCUGGAACUUACAGCCCUGAGGUCAAGACUGGCAUGUUCCACUGAAUGAGCCAGUUCUGCUUCACAUGAGCAGCUGACACCACUUCUGUUUAUGACUUAUCGGUCCAGGUGCAGAAGCAGGCGCAGAGAGGCCGCCUGACUGGCCCGAGGUCAUACAGCCACAGAGGAGCCUGGAGGUGGGUGGAGAGACUCCAGUGAGCACCGGAACCACAGACCAGGAGCCUGCCGGAAAAGCUGUGGUCCUGGAAGACAGAGCUGUUGCCAGAACUGAUGAGACGAGAGAGACCUAGAGGAACGGACACCCCGGCCUCUCUCUCUUCUCCUGCCCUCCAGAGUCUUGCUGCUGCCUCCCCCUGGGAAACCUGGCCAGAAACCGAAGUGGGAGAGACUGGGUCAGCCUCCUGGUGCACCCAGCCCAGUGGAGUGUGGCUGCAGGGGCAGAGAGGGUAUCCAGCACCCAGGCUGAAGGAGACAGAGUGUGGGAGCUGGCGCAGAGAGAGAGGGACAAACAGCCUAAGUGUUCCCAAUGCGGAGGCUCCAUCCCACAACUCUGAGAUCGUGACCUGAGCCGAAACCAAGAGUCGGCCACUCAGCUGACUGAGCCACCCAGGUAUCCGUCUAAUUCUGUUAAAAACACACCUAUCUGGAGCACCUGGGUGGUGGCUCAGUCGGUUAAGUGUCUGCUUUUGGCUCAGGUUGUGAUCUCAGGGUCCUGGGAUUGAGCCCCGC